UACGUAGGGGGGCUAGCGUUGUCCGGAAUCAUUGGGCGUAAAGCGCGCGUAGGCGGCCCGGUAAGUCCGUUGUGAAAGUCAAAGGCUCAACCUUUGAAAGCCGAUGGAUACUGCCGGGCUAGAGUCCGGAAGAGGCGAGUGGAAUUCCUGGUGUAGCGGUGAAAUGCGUAGAUAUCGGGAGGAACACCAGUGGCGAAGGCGGCGAUCUGGGAAGAUACUGACGCUGAGGUGCGAAAGCGUGGGGAGCAAACAGG
rnacentral:rRNA from 1 species